CAUCAGCUUGACGGUAGGGUAUUGGCCUACCGAGGCAGCAACGGGUAACGGGGAAUUAGGGUUCGAUUCCGGAGAGGGAGCCUGAGAAACGGCUACCACAUCUAAGGAAGGCGGCAGGCGCGCAAAUUACCCAAUCCUGACACAGGGAGGUAGUGACAAGAAAUAACAAUACAGGGCUUUCGUCUUGUAAUUGGAAUGAUGGUGAUGUACAACCUCACCAGAGUACCAAUUGGAGGGCAAGUCUGGUGCCAGCAGCCGCGGUAAUUCCAGCUCCAAUAGCGUAUAUUAAACUUGUUGCAGUUAAAAAGCUCGUAGUUGUAUUUCAGCCUCGCGUUUUUUCCCACUUUUUGGGUCUUUUCGCUGGCUUUCUUUUUACUUUGAGAAAAUUAGAGUGUUUCAAGCAGACUUUUGUCUUGAAUACUUCAGCAUGGAAUAAUAGAGUAGGACCUUGGUUCUAUUUUGUUGGUUUUGAGCCUUGGUAAUGGUUAAUAGGAACGGUUGGGGGCAUUCGUAUUUAACUGUCAGAGGUGAAAUUCUUAGAUUUGUUAAAGACGAACCACUGCGAAAGCAUUUGCCAAGGAC
rnacentral:rRNA from 1 species